rnacentral:rRNA from 1 species
GUGAACGCUGGCGGCAGGCCUAACACAUGCAAGUCGAGCGGCAGCACGGGUAGCAAUACCUGGUGGCGAGCGGCGGACGGGUGAGGAAUACAUCGGAAUCUGCCUUGUUGUGGGGGAUAACGUAGGGAAACUUACGCUAAUACCGCAUAAGACCGAGAGGUGAAAGCGGGGGAUCGAAAGACCUCGCGCGACAAGAUGAGCCGAUGUCGGAUUAGCUAGUGGCGGGGUAAAGCCCACAAGGCGACGAUCCGUAGCUGGUCUGAGAGGAUGAUCAGCCACACUGGAACUGAGACACGGUCCAGACUCCUACGGGAGGCAGCAGUGGGGAAUAUUGGACAAUGGGCGCAAGCCUGAUCCAGCCAUGCCGCGUGGGU